GACGAACGCUGGCGGCGUGCCUAAUACAUGCAAGUAGGACGCAGUUGCGAACGGGUGAGUAACGCGUAGGUAACUACCUAUUAGAGGGGGAUAACUAUUGGAAACGAUAGAUAAUACCGCAUACUAGUAGAUGGACCUGCGUUGUAUUAUCAAGUAGGUAGGGGAAUGGCCUACCUGGGCAACGAUACAGAGCCGACCCUGUAUGGUGAGCAGCAACACGGGGAAUGAGACACGGCCCAGACGCCUACGGUAGGCAGCAGUAGGGAAGCUUCGGCAAUGGGGGGACCCCUGACCGAGCAACGCCGCGGGAGUGAAGAAGGUUUUCGGAUCGUAAAGCUCUGUUGUGAAGGAAGCGGUACUUAACCAGAAAGGGACGGCUAACUACGUGUCAGCAGCCGCGGUAAUAC
rnacentral:rRNA from 1 species